GGUAGCGUGGCCGAGUGGUCUAAGGCGCUGGUUUUAGGCACCAUUCUCUUCGGAGGUGUGGGUUCGAAUCCCAUCGCUGCCA